UACAGAGGUCUCGAGCGUUAGGCGGAGUCACUGGGCUUAAAGCGUGUGUAGGCGGAUCGUUAAGUGCCUUGUGAAAUCCCUCGGCUCAACUGAGGAUCGUCGAUCGAUACUGCCGUUCUUGAGGAUUGCAGAGGAGACUGGAAUUCCCGGUGUAGCGGUGAAAUGUGUAGAGAUCGGGAGGAACACCGGUGGCGAAGGCGGGUCUCUGGGCAAUUCCUGACGCUGAGGCGCGAAAGCGUGGGGAGCAAACGGG
rnacentral:rRNA from 1 species